rnacentral:rRNA from 1 species
GACGAACGCUGGCGGCGUGCCUAAUACAUGCAAGUUGAGCGCUGAAGGUUGGUACUUGUACCAACUGGAUGAGCAGCGAACGGGUGAGUAACGCGUCGGGAAUCUGCCUUUGAGCGGGGGACAACAUUUGGAAACGAAUGCUAAUACCGCAUAAAAACUUUAAACACAAGUUUUAAGUUUGAAAGAUGCAAUUGCAUCACUCAAAGAUGAUCCCGCGUUGUAUUAGCUAGUUGGUGAGGUAAAGGCUCACCAAGGCGAUGAUACAUAGCCGACCUGAGAGGGUGAUCGGCCACAUUGGGACUGAGACACGGCCCAAACUCCUACGGGAGGCAGCAGUAGGGAAUCUUCGGCAAUGGACGAAAGUCUGACCGAGCAACGCCCCGGGAGUGAAGAAGGGUUUCGGAUCGUAAAACUCUGUUGGUAGAGAAGAACGUUGGUGAGAGUGGAAAGCUCAUCAAGUGACGGUAACUACACAGAAAGGGACGGCUAACUACGUG